rnacentral:misc_RNA from 1 species
GGUUAAGGGAAGCAAUCAAGAAUGGUGACGCUAUUGCUGUCAAGAAACUUUUGAGCGAGGGUGUAGAUGCAAAUUAUCAUGACAAACAAGGACUGUCUUUGCUUCAUGUGGCGGCGGUCUUUAAUCACACUGAUAUUGUUUUUGCCCUCAUUGAAAGCGGGGCUAGCCUGGACUACAAAAAUGCUCAAGGAGAGACGCCAUUGGAUUGUGCUCCGGCUUCUUUGCAAUAUAAGAUACGAGAGAAGAUGGGAGGACAAUGAACAAGGAGGAAUAGACUUCCCACAUAACCGGGGAGAUGACAUCCCAUAUUUUUCCAGUAAAUACUUCCAUAAUCUCUU